UACAGAGGUCCCAGGCGUUGUUCGGAUUCACUGGGCGUAAAGGGUGCGUAGGUGGUGAGGUAAGUCGGAUGUGAAAUCUCCGAGCUCAACUCGGAAAUGGCAUUGGAAACUACCUUGCUUGAGGGUUUGAGGGGGGAUUGGAAUACUUGGUGUAGCAGUGAAAUGCGUAGAUAUCAAGUGGAACACCGGUGGCGAAGGCGACACCCUGGACUCAUACUGACACUGAGGUGCGAAAGCGUGGGGAGCAAACAGG
rnacentral:rRNA from 1 species